rnacentral:lncRNA from 1 species
AUGAGCAAAAACUUUCUCCCGACGAAAGGCAGCUGUGAGCAGGAUGUGUCCAUGAGUCCAGAUGUGAACACGUCCUGGGCCCCACACCCCAGCUGUGAACUCGGAUGGGGCCUGAAUGGGAGUCCCACUCGUGGUCCAAAGGGACCACGUCGACGCGACGUGGAAAGGACGCGAGCGAGCCGGUGGCGAAGGGGGUCCCGCGGAAUGAGACCCGGGAAGAGACCGGGCCACACACACACCCGCACAAGCACACACACACACACGGACCCGGCUGAGAAAGGUACUGGGAGGUCCAGCCGCCGUCCCGAGCGCCGCACCCAAAGGAACCAGGGAAGCAGGACUCCAGCCAGAAUGCGGCAAGGGGUCCGGAGCAGUCGGGCCACCCGGGGACGACGGUGUCUGAGCCCAUCUUCCCCAGACCGGAGGUCUAAGCCGACUCCGGAUCCGCCCACACUGCUGGCAUCCCUCCUCGGGACCCCUCCCACGAUCUGGGUCUCCUUUCCACCAGUAAAGGGGGCUGCUUUAGGGGUUUGGAGUCGCAGCCCCCAGCCUACCCGCCAAACCCAGCAGGACCGAGGACGCGCGAAGCGGAAGACACUGACCGCUCGGGCCGCAGCAGGUUCUCCCGGGGCUGCCCCCUCCAAGGGGGCUCCAAUCCCGCCCCACGCAGGUGGCCACGACAGGACACGUUCUCCAGCUCUAGCCCCUUGAGGUGCCGCGCAGCUCCGAGCGUGGCAGGACCCACUUUUACCCUUCCGGACAACGGCUAACAGUUGUGACCUGACCUUCCCCGGGCAGUGGGUCCCGGCCACGGCCGGGGGAGAG